CCUACGGGUGGCAGCAGUGGGGAAUAUUGCACAAUGGGGGGAACCCUGAUGCAGCGACGCCGCGUGGGUGAGGAAGUACUUCGGUAUGUAAAGCCCUAUCAGCAGGGAAGAAAAUGACGGUACCUGACUAAGAAGCCCCGGCUAACUACGUGCCAGCAGCCGCGGUAAUACGUAGGGGGCAAGCGUUAUCCGGAUUUACUGGGUGUAAAGGGAGUGUAGACGGCGGGGCAAGACAGAUGUGAAAGGCCGGGGCUCAACCCGGGGAGUGCAUUGGAGACUGGCAUGCUGGAGUGCCGGAGGGGGAGGCGGAAUUCCUAGUGUAGCAGUGAAAUGCGUAGAUAUUAGGAAGAACACCGAUGGCGAAGGCGGCUUGCUGGACGGUAACUGACGUUGAGGCUCGAAAGCGUGGGGAGCAAACAGGAUUAGAUACCCCAGUAGUC
rnacentral:rRNA from 1 species